rnacentral:rRNA from 1 species
GACAGAGGCCUCAAGCGUUAGGCGGAAUCACUGGGCUUAAAGCGUGUGUAGGCGGAUCGUUAAGUACCUUGUGAAAUCCCACGGCUCACCCGUGGAACUGCUGGGUAUACUGGCGAUCUUGGGCCAACUAGGGGCAGCUGGAACAAGCGGUGGAGCGGUGAAAUGCGUAGAUAUCGCUUGGAACGCCGAAGGUGAAAACAGGCUGCUGGGGUUGUGCCGACGCUGAGACACGAAAGCCAGGGGAGCAAACGGG